rnacentral:rRNA from 1 species
CCCGCACAAGCGGUGGAGCAUGUGGUUUAAUUCGAUGCAACGCGAAGAACCUUACCUGGGCUUGACAUCCCGAGAAUCCCCUGGAAACAGGGAGUGCCCUUCGGGGAGCUCGGAGACAGGUGCUGCAUGGCUGUCGUCAGCUCGUGUCGUGAGAUGUUGGGUUAAGUCCCGCAACGAGCGCAACCCUUGUCUCUAGUUGCCACCAUUCAGUUGGGCACUCUAGAGAGACUGCCGGUGAUAAACCGGAGGAAGGUGGGACGACGUCAAGUCCUCAUGGCCUUUAUGCCCAGGGCUACACACGUGCUACAAUGGGCGAUACAGAGUGACGCGAAGCCGCGAGGUGGAGCAAAUCGCAGAAAAUCGCUCUCAGUUCGGAUUGGAGUCUGAAACCCGACUCCAUGAAGGUGGAAUCGCUAGUAAUCGCGCAUCAGCAUGGCGCGGUGAAUACGUUCCCGGGCCUU